GAUCAUGGCUCAGGACGAACGCUGGCGGCGUGCCUAACACAUGCAAGUCGAACGAGAAUCUGUGGAACGGAGCUUCGGCGAAGGGAAGCAGAGGACAGUGGCGAACGGGUGAGUAACGCGUGAGGAACCUGCCUUUCAGAGGGGGACAACAGCUGGAAACGGCUGCUAAUACCGCAUAACACGAUCUGACCGCAUGAUCGGAUCGUCAAAGAUUUAUCGCUGAAAGAUGG
rnacentral:rRNA from 1 species